rnacentral:rRNA from 1 species
ACGAGAGCUCUGGGUCACCUCCCACCCGUGUCUAUCGUACCUUGUUGCUUCGGCGGGCCCGCCGUUUCGACGGCCGCCGGGGAGGCCUUGCGCCCCCGGGCCCGCGCCCGCCGAAGACCCCAACAUGAACGCUGUUCUGAAAGUAUGCAGUCUGAGUUGAUUAUCGUAAUCAGUUAAAACUUUCAACAACGGAUCUCUUGGUUCCGGCAUCGAUGAAGAACGCAGCGAAAUGCGAUAAGUAAUGUGAAUUGCAGAAUUCAGUGAAUCAUCGAGUCUUUGAACGCACAUUGCGCCCCCUGGUAUUCCGGGGGGCAUGCCUGUCCGAGCGUCAUUGCUGCCCUCAAGCACGGCUUGUGUGUUGGGCCCCCGUCCCCCUCUCCCGGGGGACGGGCCCGAAAGGCAGCGGCGGCACCGCGUCCGGUCCUCGAGCGUAUGGGGCUUUGUCACCUGCUCUGUAGGCCCGGCCGGCGCCAGCCGACACCCAACUUUAUUUUUCUAAGGUUGACCUCGGAUCAGGUAGGGAUACCCGCUGAACUUAAGCAUAUCAAUAAGCCGAGGAAUACCUGCGGAAGGAUCAUUACCGAGU